GACGAACGCUGGCGGCGUGCUUAACACAUGCAAGUCGAACGGAAAGGCCCUGCUUUUGUGGGGUGCUCGAGUGGCGAACGGGUGAGUAACACGUGAGUAACCUGCCCUUGACUUUGGGAUAACUUCAGGAAACUGGGGCUAAUACCGGAUAGGAGCUCCUGCUGCAUGGUGGGGGUUGGAAAGUUUCGGCGGUUGGGGAUGGACUCGCGGCUUAUCAGCUUGUUGGUGGGGUAGUGGCUUACCAAGGCUUUGACGGGUAGCCGGCCUGAGAGGGUGGCCGGCCACAUUGGGACUGAGAUACGGCCCAGACUCCUACGGGAGGCAGCAGUGGGGAAUAUUACACAAUGGGCGGAAGCCUGAUGCAGCAACGCCGCGUGCGGGAUGACGGCCUUCGGGUUGUAAACCGAUUUCGCCUGUGACGAAGCGUGAGUGACGGUAAUGGGUAAAGAAGCACCGGCUAACUACGUG
rnacentral:rRNA from 1 species